GAGACAAACUUUAUUUGGUUCAUAAAUAAAUUGUAACAGCAGGCAUUUGUUUUUGAGGUGAAGAUACACGAGCCGAACGCAAUAAAGCAAGAAGACUAAAGCAUCAUAAUAUUAUCGACAUGCUUUCCAUCGAAUCCACUUGAUUUGUGGAAUAAAUAUAAAGGUUUAAUGGCCGAAGACUUUUUAAAUCGAAUGCGUCAGCAUACCAGAAAUCACGAUUUGCUGAUCUCAUUGGAAAUGUAUAACGAGGCAUUGAUAUCGAUUGAAGAUAUGUGCCAUGCGAAGGCAAAUAAAGCAUUAGGUCAAUUAGGUAUGCCUUCACCGAAUCGUCCAAUGCAUGAUUUGUUUGAUCGAGAAUUGCAACGUGAACAACAGUACAAUAUCAAUGAAUUGCAAACAUUUGUGAAUUGGAAUUUACCCAAAUUGAACGACCAACAAAAACAUGUUUACGAUAAUAUUAUGCAAGCAGUACUAAAUGAUGUUGGUGGAUUGUAUUUUUUGGAUGCGCCUGGAGGUACGGGUAACACAUUUGUGGUAUCAUUGAUUUUGACAGCCAUUCGGUCACAACAAAAAAUUGCAUUGGCACUUGCUUCGUCAGGAAUUGCUGCUACUUUAUUGGAUGGUGGUCGAACAGCACACUCAGCAUUAAAAUUUCCGUUAAAUGUGCAGGUGAUUGACAAUCCCACAUGCAACAUAUCAAGAAAUUCUGCAAUGGCAAAAGUUU